UAACACAUGCAAGUCGAACGCAGUANCAAUACUGAGUGGCAGACGGGUGAGUAACAUGUGGGAAUCUGCCUUGUGGUUCAGGACAACAUUGGGAAACCGAUGCUAAUACUGGAUAAGCCCUUACGGGGAAAGUUUUAAUGCCAUAAGAUGAGCCCGCACUUGAUUAGUUAGUUGGUGAGGUAAUGGCUCACCAAGACAAUGAUCAAUAGCUGAUCUGAGAGGAUGAUCAGCCACACUGGGACUGAGACACGGCCCAGACUCCUACGGGAGGCAGCAGUGGGGAAUCUUGCACAAUGGAGGAAACUCUGAUGCAGCGAUGCCGCGUGAGUGAAGAAGGCCUUUGGGUUGUAAAGCUCUUUUGUAGGGGAAGAUAAUGACUGUACCCUAAGAAUAAGGUCCGGCUAACUUCGUGCCAG
rnacentral:rRNA from 1 species